UACGUAGGGUGCGAGCGUUGUCCGGAAUUACUGGGCGUAAAGAGCUCGUAGGUGGUUUGUCGCGUUGUUCGUGAAAACUCACAGCUCAACUGUGGGCGUGCGGGCGAUACGGGCAGACUGGAGUACUGCAGGGGAGACUGGAAUUCCUGGUGUAGCGGUGGAAUGCGCAGAUAUCAGGAGGAACACCGGUGGCGAAGGCGGGUCUCUGGGCAGUAACUGACGCUGAGGAGCGAAAGCGUAGGGAGCGAACAGG
rnacentral:rRNA from 1 species